rnacentral:lncRNA from 1 species
CAUAAGCGUGAAUCUGAAAAUCUAAAAAAAAAUUGCAUAGGCCAAUCUUUGUAACAAUGCGGUGGAACUUGCAUGUCACAUGAGUAAAAAGAAAACUGUUUUU